GAGACUUCCCUAAAAGCUGCAUUUAGGACCUGGCCCGUUCUCCCCAGCUCCAGAGCAGCAGCAAAGGGAAGCAGCGUCCUCGCCAAUACCUGGGCUGUCCUUCAAGGCUCAGUGCAAGGAAAAACACCUGGGUUGGACAUCAGGUAGUGCUGACUUCCAGACCACUGAGGUCACCUGCAUAAGCGAGUCUGGCAACAAAUAAUCGUCUUCCAGAAAAUGACCAGAAACUCAGCCUGCUUUUUGUCAUUUCACCAGCCCCACCAUCUUUCCUUUAUUCUAGAGCUCCUGGCACACUUACAUGAAUCUCUUGAAAGAAGAGAAAUGAGAGCAUUCAUUCCAUACUAAUACAAUUGUGCCCUAUGGAAAGGCUUUUUGCUGGCAGACAUAGUAGACGGACCAUUUCCCAACUUCUUUUUCUUUGCCACCUUCCAGCCAAAGGUGUCCAUAUGACACAGCUCUGGACAGGAUAAUUGGAAGUCUGUUGUGGGAUUUCUGAGAAAGCUUUUGAUUUUCUGACAGAGACAUUUUUGCUUCCCCUUACCACUUCCUACUGGAUUACAGAUGUGAUGGAAAGAGCUGCAGCAGCCAUAAUACAACCAUAAAGGAGAGGAGAAGAGAAUUGCAAAGGCAUCAACCCACAUUGAAUUGAACUGCUAAGUUAACACUAGCAGUUACUUGCCUCCAGAUAUCUUGGUGUGUGAGAACAUUAAAUCUGUAUGUGUCUAAA
rnacentral:lncRNA from 1 species